AUGCGGCCUGGAAGCACCCGGGUCCCUCGCGCAAGACGCUCUGGCACCGGAGGAAGGCGGCACAGAAGCAGCGGCAAUCUGAGGGGGGGCAGGAAGCGGCCCCGCUCGCCGCAGAUCCAGAUGGAGCGCCGGGAGGUUCCGCCUGACCUCUUCGGGUUGUGCUUCAAGUGCUUCAGGGAUGGGCACCGCAGGGAUGACUGCACCUUCCCGCCGAGAUGCAUCCGCUGCGGGCUGGAGGGUCAUGAGUCUGUUGACUGCAGGCAACCGCGGAGCCCGAGGUCGGAGGAGGACCUGCGAAGGGACGCCAUGGCUAAGGUUGCGCGCACGACCCAGCUGCUGCCGCCUGCCAGACUCGCGGGGAGACUGUCGCCGGCGACUCGGCAGGAUCCACCUGUGGGGGGAUUCAUGCCAGUCGCGGCCGUUACAGUACCCGCGGAGCCCUGGCAAGCGCCGUCAGCUGCUGGCGAGAUCUGCGUGCUCCGCCGUUCCCACGAGGUCGACGACAUGGAGAGGCGACUUCAGUCUGCGGUGGUUGCAUACAUUGGUGGCCCUCGGCCGGCGGUCUCCUGUGUGCAGGCUGCCGAAGCCAUUUCGGAGAAGUUGCGGAUCCCAAGGCACCGCUUUUCUGUCCACAAAUUCCAUCCCGAGGACUUCUUGGUGGUGUUUGCAACACCGGAGCUCAGGAACACGGUGCUGGCGCAGGACUCGGUUGAGCAUGAGUUUUUCAAGCUGUUCUUCAGACCAUGGCUAAUGCAGGCACAAGCAACAUCCAGGCUGAUGCGCACACAAGUGGAUGUGAUGAUCGAGGGCAUCCCAGCCCAUGCCUGGACCAGAGACACGGCAGCUGAGCUCCUUGGUUCGUCGUGUUUGGUGGAGAGCCUCGCACCGGAGACGGCCAGCAGGGAAGAUUUAUCGCUGUUCAAGCUGCGGGCGUGGUGCGUCGAUCCUGAUGAGGUGCCUGUCUGUAAGCGACUUUGGAUGCCAGAACCAUCUGAUCUGGGCAACCCGGCGGAUCGGCGGCCUAUUUACCGUCAGUUACUGGAGUACAAGAUCCUAAUUCACAUUGGUAGGAUGCGGGAUAAUGCAGACCCGCCGGAUUGGUUUCGGCCAUCUAGCUCAGACAGCAGCGGCCAAAGUGGUUUGCCGGACAAUUCAGGCGACUUCUCCGGCGGAGGAUGCUGGCAGGUUCUGCCUUGGACCAGGGGUGUUCGGGACUCGCGCGGCGGCGGACCGUCUCAGUCAGGGGCUUACAAUGGAGGUCGUUCCUACAGGCAGGCCCUGGUGGGUAGAAUCGGACCAUCAGACUGGCGUAUUCCGGCGAUGAGCUUUGGGAGGGAGACGCCAGCCCCAGCGCCACAGUUGGCGCCGCCGCCUCCCCGCGCCGCGCCGUCGAUGCCACGGCCAGACACACGGGCGCCUACUAAAAACACUGGAGCAGGAGAUCGCGCCACUGGAUGGCUGGCGGCCACACCACCCACACAGGAUCUGGCGAUCGCCGCACAUCCAGUUGGGCCAGUCAACAACCAGGUGCAGGUGACUCAUUUGGACCCACCGGAGCGACAGGCUUUGGCCCCUCAGGCUGAUGCGGUGGUGGCUCCACCUAUCACCACUAUCCUGGAAGCAUCCCCACAGUUGGAACGGAUAUCUGGUGGCAGCUCCUGCUGCUGCCCCCGAGGAGAUCAGGACUCUGACAGAGACCGAUGUGACUGA
rnacentral:rRNA from 1 species